AGGGGGAGCUGGAGUUCGCAGGCCACCAAGCCCCGGGCAGGUGUUGUUCCAGAAUUUGCUCACCAGGUGCUCGUGGUGACCGAUUUUGGGCCUGAUUUCCAUGUGACAAAUGAAGACACAGACUCAAGCUGCCCAGGGCCGGCUGGCCAGGGCUAUGGGUGGUGGAGGUUUAAAAACAGCACCAAUGUUCCAACUUUUCAUUUCUACUUUUUCCGUCUCUGGAUUCCUAUUCUUCCCACCUACCUGCCUUCUGUGAGGCCAUUACUGCCGCGACAAUUUCACCACUGUACAAUUGGGAUAAAGGACGAAGGCGAGACACUAAGUGGAGGAGUUUAAACAACAUCUUGGCUCUCGUCUGACCUCCUGACUUUGAGUUCCAGCCCCGCUGUCAUCUGAUGACUCCACACCCUUGGUCAAAUGGCCUGACCUCUCUCGACUUGACCCACAAGUUCUGAAAGACGCCCACAUUCUUCGGCUGGUGGCCACAUCCUCCAUCUACAAAGCCUGCAAGGGUGGCAGAGUCCUUUCCAGGCUGUGAUCUCAGAUUUGCUCACUUCUUCCAUCAUCACAUCCUCUCUCUGACCCACCCAGGGAAGCUUCUUUGAUAUUAAAGACUCAUAUGACCACAUAGUCUACCUGGUACCCUCCGGUACCCCUGCCAAGUGCCUCUUAGCUCAUCUGCAAAGUCCCUGCUCACAGAAAUUCCACCACAUGAGGCAUGACAUGGAGUUCGUUCUUGCAGAAGCGCUGGCUCUCUCUAUGUGUAUCCGGACUGUGACUGAAGCCGCUCGCCCCUCUUCAGUAGGCUCUGAGCUGGAGGCUGUCCUGCGUUCACACAUUGCAAGUUGCCUCAUGAAGCCCCUUGGUUACAACUGGGCUCUGAUAUCAUCCCCGAGAGUCUUCAUUUCUGACCAUGUUUCUGGAAGUGAUCUCAUUUGGUAGAAACAAGUCACCUGGCAUCUCCCUUCCCACCCCUGCCAGAGACUGCUCCCUCACCUAGCUAAACAACCCCAGGUUUCCAACACAUUUCCUCCAAACUCCAUUCUCCAGCCCUCCAGAUUCUAAGCUGACUAGAAGCUAUCACCAAAGAACAAUGGUGAAGUUUAGUGUCUCUGACAAAUGACUGGCUGCCUGGGAUCAACAUGUCCCGGCACUGCAGGGUCUGGGGUUCAUUUUUUCAUCCUCUGGGUUCAGUUUUCUCAUCUGUAAAAUGGGAUAAUAACUGUGCCUGUCCAGAGGGUUGUCAUGAAAAUGAAACGAGAGGAACCAUGUGAAGCCCAGUGCUUAGCAUUUGGUGAACACACUCUGCACGCUAUGGUGAUGGCUGCCGAAACAAAGCCUAUGGGCAAUUUCCCUCAUCCACGUCUUACUUGGUCCUGCAUCACGUCAUUAUAGACUCUUGGCAAUUCCCUGUCUCCUUCAGACUUUCUGCCCUUUGGAUCCAUCUUCAUGUUUCCCACACAGUUUUCACUGUCUCCCAGGGAUGGUCACUUCUUGGUGACUGUCUGUGGGUACCCUCACCUUGCUCAUUUGCCAUGGGACUGGCUCCAGCCAAUGGGAAGCCCUGCUUCAGGCUGAAGUGUCGAACAGCUGGUGCCCAUCACCGAAGCAGCAGGGGCCCAGACCAUUUUUUGUGCAUGGUAUGGAGACCCACGUGUCACACAUGCUGUUGGUAGAGAGGCCUCUGCCAGCCUGGGUUCCUUAAUGGCUACAUUGGCAGUGCUCCCCAGACUUACUUGGGCUUCAACUAGAAAGAAACUUUUGUGUUACAUCCGCUCCAUUUGAGGGUUGACUUGCUGCUGCAGCGUAAUCUCACCUAGCCCUGACUAAUAAAUCACCUUUGCUUUUAGAUUGGCAACCUGCUGUUUGCCAAAUUAUAGCAGGGUUCUGCCAUUUGAACCUUUUUUAUGUGUACAAUUCAGUGACACUGAGAACAUUGUAACCAUCACACUGUUUCCAGACCUUUUCAGCAUCCUGGGUAGAAACACUACGUGGCAAUCUGCUAUUGACCCUCUUUGGGCCAGCUUACAUUCCUGAACUCUCCUGUAAGGACUCCCAGUUUACCCUGCUCUAGAACCCUCUCAGAGUCAUCCUUCUGAUUGCCCUUUUGUGCUGGAACUGGCUGUGUCCAGUAGAAGAUCUGGCCACAACCAACAACCCCGAAGAAUCCUUCUGGGAUUACCAAGAGAUUCCGGGAACUUAUGUCAUUUCCCCCUUUAGCAUUACUGGACUGUUAUCCAGGACACCAUGACAGAAGACACCUCUAGAUGUCUUUUAGUUUCCUAAAUAUGCCACUAACUUCUCACAGGCAUUGGUACCUCCUCUGCAAUACUUUUGCUCCCAUUACCACCCCUGCAGCCUCCUUGCCUAACAAUCUUUGGGUCCUGAAGGAUAAGACACUUCCUCCAGAAGCUGUCUGGGGUUUCCCCAGCUCAGAGCCACCUGUUUUACAGUCACUCCAGUGUCCGUCCAAAACCACCAUAGGUGACGGACAGAGCAUCUGAGACGCUCUGUUAUCGUGUUCUCUGCUAAGCACAAACUUCCUGAUGACAGAGGUGCAGUUGUCUUGGUCACUCUACUCUCAUUUUCAAAUAUAGUGCCUGGUGACGAACAGGUGCUUAAAAAGGGUCUCCUGAUUAAUGCUUUUGUAAAUAUGAGGAAGGACACUUCGGAGAGUGACCUUCCUUGGUACGAGUCAGGGAGCUCUCACAACAAAGUCCCAAACCUGGGGUAGGAGAGGCUUCUCCUGUGAGGCUGUGCACAGCUCACACUGAGAGGAACAGUUCCCUAUAAACUGGUCUCUGAGGAGUACAGCUCCAACUCAAAGACACAAAAGAAGUCAGAUCCUUGGCUUCUUGAUUCUGCCAUACAUACACACUGGCUUUCUACAUGUUGGUUCCAUGUUUGUGAGCUAGAACCAAAUGAAGUAUCUGCAAAGACUGAUGGCAUGGAAGCUUAGCCCAAGACCUCACAAUCGCAGGAUGCUCCCUCUCUGAGGGGAAGAGACUCAGCGCUGGAUCAUUCUGGCUUCUGCUCUGGCUCUUACCAAGAGAAAUUUCAUACAGUGAAGUCUACUUGGAAGACACUUUCUACCCACACCUCUGAGUCAACAAAUGUCAGAAGCUCCCCGAGGGUUCCCCUCGAUGGCACGCGCUUUUAUGGCAAAGGUAAUAACUCAUCACAUGCUCUUGGACAGGGACUUGGAAAAGCAAAGCUUUUAAUAAACCAAAAGGAACAAUUUUGGUAUUAAUUUUCUGGGUUGUAGUAGAAAUGAAAACAACUCAACCGAUAUAAAGAACAUGGAUAACGAGAUAAUAUUACACCCAAGCAUUGGCUUGUGAUUUCUUCUUCUGGCUUACCUUUUUCGUUGUACAUGUACAUGUAUACACGCCAUCUCUUAGGGCUAACGAGAACGCGAAUACAUAUAAGAAGUUUAUGAUUUUAUUUUAUUUCUAAACAAAAUGAGU